AACAUAAAUGUACAUUCUCAAAAACAUAAUUUAGCGAAUAACUCUUGUUUUUUUUCUUGUUGUGUUGUUUUGUAUUGUGCAAACCCAAUUCCUUCACCUGUUUCCAGAGGAUGGCACUCUUCUGAAAGCAGUAAACUACGUCGGUGAGAUGUUCAUCAUCGAGCAGAUUCAGCUCUUCCAGUCCCCCGAGGCCAUUAAGGUCCUGAGGUUUUCCGACGUCACGGGACAGCUAUACGCAGGAUCCGACUACGGAGUUGUACAGGUGCCUCUUGCCACCUGUGGGAGAUCCUUGUCCUGUUUGGACUGUAUUCUGGCAAGAGAUCCCUACUGUGGCUGGGACGCGGAUGCUGGGAGUUGCGUAGCCAUUUCCAGUACACAGAGG